rnacentral:lncRNA from 1 species
ACAUCUUCCUAGCAUUCUUCCUAAAAACUUAUCUCCACAGACAGUGGAAGCAAGGCAGAGAGGC